CCCGCACAAGCGGUGGAGCAUGUGGUUUAAUUCGAUGAUACGCGAGGAACUUACCUGGGCUCAAAUGUAUGUUGACGUAUUCUGAAAGGGAUACUUCUUCGGACAAUAUACAAGGUGCUGCAUGGUUGUCGUCAGCUCGUGCCGUGAGGUGUCGGGUUAAGUCCCAUAACGAGCGCAACCCCUAUCAUUAGUUGCCAUCAGGUCAAGCUGGGGACUCUAAUGAAACUGCCUACGCAAGUAGUGAGGAAGGUGGGGAUGACGUCAAAUCAGCACGGCCCUUACGUCCAGGGCUACACACGUGCUACAAUGGCCGGUACAAAGGGCAGCUACCUGGUGACAGGAUGCAAAUCUCCAAAGUCGGUCUCAGUUCGGAUCGGAGUCUGCAACCCGACUCCGUGAAGUUGGAUUCGCUAGUAAUCGCGCAUCAGCCAUGGCGCGGUGAAUACGUUCCCGGGCCUU
rnacentral:rRNA from 1 species